rfam:Metarhizium majus ARSEF 297 Scaffold_31, whole genome shotgun sequence.
ACAUACGACCACAGCCGCUAGCAAAGUUCGGGACCCCGUCUGAUCUCCCACGACAACCUAGCGAGCGCUGGAUUAGUAGUCGGGUCGGAGACGACCGGCGAAUCCCCAGUGUUGUAUGUU